AAAAGAAUAAUUAACGUAAAUUAUAUUUCAGACUAAAACCAAUCAUAUACCUACACGUACACUCAAUUUAAAAAAAAAUGUUUCGUUUACUUUUUUAUUUUUGCAUUGCAUUUGUAUUCUUAGCAGCAGUCAUAAAUGCACAAGAUUGUCCUGUACUGAGAUGUAAUUGUCCAGCCAACCCGGAUUGUCCAGUUUGCGAUUGUGGAGGGUGGAAUUCCACAUUAUCUAAAUAACAAUGAAUAUAAAACUUU